CCCUACAGCUGUGGUGCAAUGAGUCAGUGUGUCUGGCUAUUAACCAGAAGGUUGGUGGUUCGAGCCCAAUUAAAGGGG